AGGAGGAACAGUCGCAGUGGCGGGGCCAGCUCUGCAGCGCUGGAGUCAGCUCCCGCAGUAACUCCGGAGCUCUCCGUCUGCAGGGCCUGGAGGCUCCGGGGCGGG
rfam:Canis lupus familiaris chromosome 18, whole genome shotgun sequence.